AGAAGCUUCCAGGAACUUCCUGUGCAGGGUGCAAGCCCUUAGCACCGGGAUCUUCUGGCAAAUUUUGGAUGGAGGGUCUUCGGACCCUCUUUUUUUUUAUUUUUUUUUCUCAGGCAGAGGAGGAGACAGGAGAGGAAGAGGGGGGUGGGUGGGUGGGGUGGGGACCACACAUACACACAUACACACACGCACCUUCGUCGCACCUUCGUGGUGUCCGGGGUCCGGUUUUUCUUUGACUUUUUCAUUUAGGCUUCGUCGUCGCCCUUGAGGUGCUUAUUUCCUUUUUAUCACCAUCACCGGUGUUAUUCUCACAGGUUUUGUGCAUUUUUACACCGGCGUCCGCGUUAUUUUUUUUUCUUUCCAUAUCCUUGUCGCCGUUGCCGUGGCAGUGCUUUUUUCGUUGUCACUGCCAUUGCUGGCAUUAUUACUGUGGGUUUUAGUGAUUUUUGCUCUAACGUUCACGAUCUUUUUUUUUUUCGACCACCACCACCACCACACACACACACGCAGACAAAAAGAAAAAGAGACAGGGAAGAGCACCACAGCACACCGGAAUGCGAGCCACACAAACGCAGAACACUGGGUACGACCAUACUUGGCCGAAUGCACCAUAUCCCGUCCGAUUUGUGAAGUUAAGCGGCCACAGGCCUCGUUAGUACGGCGAUCAGUGAUGGCGCUGGAACCCGGGGUGCCGUACCCUCUUCGAUGAUUUUUUUUUCUUUUCCCCACCCACCCUUGGUGGGGUGGGUGGGCGCCGAGACCCUCUGAUGUCGCCCAUACUUGGGGGACGAAAAAUGGCCAUGACCCCCAGAACCCCAUGUCACCCCUCAUCUCCCACCCCCGAACCCAGUGGAAGGAUUUUUAACUAACGCUAUUAUUGAUA
rnacentral:misc_RNA from 1 species